rnacentral:lncRNA from 1 species
CGGCGGCCCCGAGGUGACGGCGCCGCGCCCCGCCGCUGUGCGGGCCUGGGAACGGCUGCUGAGUCAAAGCACGGCGUUUUUAAAGACGGACUCCUUGGAAGUUUUUCCCAAGCUGGCUUUUCUGGUUAGACUACAUCUCCAGUAAUGCUCGAUGGAUAUGGAUUCCUACAGUGCCUUCCUCCCUUUAUCCAGCAGAGAGAGGUCCCAGAGUAUGCUCCUUGCUAUGGGCUCGAAGCCCUGCUAUUCCGUGGUGAUCAGUCCGUUUCUAGGAAAUUGCUGUGAAGUCCUAAAAGGAUAAAUAUUGUCACUUUAUGAUUUUUUGGUCAAAACAAACUCAAAACUGAUCAGUGCUGGAGGUAAUGUAAGUAAAAAUCCCAUGUUUUGCCAAAUAUACUCAUUUCCUAUUAAAUUGUAGAAGAGCUGUUCAAGAAAGACAUUGCUGUGUGAGCUAAUGUUUCUUAGGUUUAAACAAGUUUCUUGCUUUUUACAGCAUUUUUGAGUGCUGUCUAGUACUUAUGUAGAAUGUUGUGAAAGCACAUAUAUCAGUUUUCUCCAGGAACUGUAUGUAUAAUUAAUUUACAGAACUGAGAUAAAAAUCCCUAAAAAAAUUGCUGUUUGG